GAUGAACGCUGGCGGCGUGCCUAAUACAUGCAAGUCGAGCGAACGGACGAGAAGCUUGCUUCUCUGAUGUUAGCGGCGGACGGGUGAGUAACACGUGGAUAACCUACCUAUAAGACUGGGAUAACUUCGGGAAACCGGAGCUAAUACCGGAUAAUAUUUUGAACCGCAUGGUUCAAGAGUGAAAGACGGUCUUGCUGUCACUUAUAGAUGGAUCCGCGCUGCAUUAGCUAGUUGGUAAGGUAACGGCUUACCAAGGCAACGAUGCAUAGCCGACCUGAGAGGGUGAUCGGCCACACUGGAACUGAGACACGGUCCAGACUCCUACGGGAGGCAGCAGUAGGGAAUCUUCCGCAAUGGGCGAAAGCCUGACGGGGCAACGCCGCGUGAGUGAUGAAGGUCUUCGGAUCGUAAAACUCUGUUAUUAGGGAAGAACAUAUGUGUAAGUAACUGUGCACAUCUUGACGGUACCUAAUCAGAAAGCCACGGCUAACUACGUG
rnacentral:rRNA from 1 species